UACGGGGGGUGCGAGCGUUGUCCGGAAUCACUGGGCGUAAAGGGCGCGUAGGUGGCGUGAUAAGGGUGUGGUGAAAGCCCGGGGCUCAACCCCGGGUCUGCCAUGCCGACUGUCAGGCUGGAGUACUGUAGGGGCAGGCGGAAUUCCUGGUGUAGCGGUGGAAAGUGACGGCAGAUAUCAGGAGGAACACCGGUGGCGAAGGCGGGUCUCUGGGCCGAUACUGACGCUGGAGGAGCGAAAGCGUGGGGAGCGAACAGG
rnacentral:rRNA from 1 species